CAAAUACACUGACGUCAUCCGAGGUCAUCAAGAUGGCAGCGUUUGACAACUAGCCGGUUUUCUCAUAAGAGUCAAUGCUAAUAUUUUCGGAAUUCAUUUAAAUUUGAGAGUGUGUCAACUGUGUUUUUAUAGUUUGGUAAGUUUGUUACAGUUUCUAGACUGUGUAGAUAUCUGUAAAACGCACCAUAACGUUUGAAUAUCCUUAAAAAAUAAUGUUUUCCAAUGUGAUGUACAGGUUAACUUCGCUGCAUUUUAUAUUAUUUGUUUUGCAAAUUAAUUCUGUGUUAAUGUACAUCAAUGUUUUUUAAAUACACUAGCAUCUUAAUAUUAUACUAUUUUGUAUUUUAGGAGAAAAUGCCUACAUUUUGUGCUGUUGUGGGUUGCGCGAAUCGAAGCACCAGAAAUGCGGACAAAUUUUAUUUUCCUUUCCCAGCAAUUAGCAACAAUAAAGGUAAAUAUAGUAUACAGGAUGGGGAAAAAAGGCGGAAGCUUUGGUUAAAAGCCUUGAAACGAGUGGAUUUAACGAAGCCAAAGUAAAGUAUUCCUAUAUUUGUUCGGAUCAUUUUAUUUUAGGUAAACCUGCAGAUUUGUCGGUUGUGGACCAUCCUGAUUAUAUUCCAUCACAAAAUUUAGGAUAUCAAAAUAAAUCCACUCAAUACUUGUAAUGUUGAAAGACACAGUCGUUUAAAAAAGAGAAAACUGAAUAAAUGGCUCUAGACUUUUGAA